rnacentral:rRNA from 1 species
CAGCAGCCACGGUAAUACGAAGGGGGCUAGCGUUGUUCGGAUUUACUGGGCGUAAAGGGCACGUAGGCGGGCGAAUAAGUCAGGGGUGAAAUCCCAAGGCUCAACCUUGGAACUGCCUUUGAUACUGUUUGUCUUGAGUUCGAGAGAGGUAAGUGGAACUGCGAGUGUAGAGGUGAAAUUCGUAGAUAUUCGCAAGAACACCAGUGGCGAAGGCGGCUUACUGGCUCGAAACUGACGCUGAGGCGCGAAAGCGUGGGGAGCAAACAGGAUUAGAUACCCGCGUAGUCCCUGUCUCUUAUAC